CCUACGGUGGGCAGCAGUGAGGAAUAUUGGUCAAUGGGCGCGAGCCUGAACCAGCCAAGUCGCGUGAGGGAAGACGGUCCUAUGGACUGUACACCUCUUUUGUCGAGGAGCAAAAGAAGCCACGCGUGGCGUUCCGAGAGUACCCGAAGUAAAAGCAUCGACUAACUCCGUGCCAGCAGCCGCGGUAAUACGGAGGAUGCGAGCGUCAUCCGGUGUUAUUGGGUUUAAAGGGUGCGAAGGCGGAAGAUCAAGUUAGCGGUAAAAUUGCUAGGCUAAAACUCUUCGGGCCGUUGAAACUGGUUUUCUUGAGUGAGUGAGAAGUAUGCGGAAUGCGUGGUGUAGCGGUGAAAUGCAUAGAUAUCACGCAGAACUCCGAUUGCGAAGGCAGCAUACCGGCGCUCAACUGACGCUCAUGCACGAAAGUGUGGGUAUCGAACAGGAUUAGAUACCCCUGUAGUC
rnacentral:rRNA from 1 species